UCUCCAAGCAGGCAGACUUCUUGGGUUGAAUCUCAUCAAAACGGCUUUAGUGUUGCUACUUCCCACAACAUCCACUUGGCUCUCAGGAAAUUCAGGCAUCUUUGCCCUACCAAAUGGUAGGAGUACAGCUUACCCAUCGGCCGACCCCUCUCUUCCCACCUUCUAUCAUGUGUGGCUCCAGCCAAAGGCUCAAUAAUAAAGGGAUAAUUCAUUGCCUUGAGAGAGUCAGGGCAUGGUCUUCUUGCCCAUCAAGCAGGGAGUUGGCAAAGCGGAGAAGAAUGUGAUACUGGAGUGUCCCUGCCAUGGCCAGGACUAGAGGGAGGAACCCUGCUCUGCUCAAUACCCAUUUGCAUAGUAUCUGUUGAUACGGAGUUAGGAGCUGAAGCCCACCGUACUCAUCCCAGCAGAAAGAAUGUGCUCAAGAAUAGCUUCCGGGAUGCCCAGGGACAGGUGAUUCUGCCCACCUCAGUCCUGCUCUAGCAUUCUACCCACCAAUGACCAGAAGUAGUGUCCAGAGCAGCAUAAGGGCUAAGGCAAGAAGUUCUACCAGCAACUGUCAGGUGCAGCUUAGGUCCUUAGGGCAGCUGUUUGUCUGCAUGGACCGUGAAGCCAGGAUUUGGCCCUGUGGUUCAGUAGGGAUUAUAUAAAAUAGAAAAAAGGAAGUAGAAAAGCUCUCUGUCAAUCAGCAUUUUCCCCACUCCCAUGGAUAAUGAGAAAGUAAACUGUUUCUCCUUUA